GCCCAAGUAUGCGAAUUGGUAUAGCAGCAGCACUUAGGAUGCUGUGGGUAAGACAUUGUGGGUUCGACUCCCACCUUGGGUAC
rnacentral:tRNA from 1 species